rnacentral:rRNA from 1 species
GAUGAACGCUGGCGGCGUGCCUAAUACAUGCAAGUCGAGCGAACAGAUGAGGAGCUUGCUCCUCUGACGUUAGCGGCGGACGGGUGAGUAACACGUGGAUAACCUUCCUAUAAGACUGGGAUAACUUCGGGAAACCGGAGCUAAUACCGGAUAAUAUAUUGAACCGCAUGGUUCAAUAGUGAAAGACGGUUUUGCUGUCACUUAUAGAUGGAUCCGCGCCGCAUUAGCUAGUUGGUAAGGUAACGGCUUACCAAGGCAACGAUGCGUAGCCGACCUGAGAGGUGAUCGGCCACACUGGAACUGAGACACGGUCCAGACUCCUACGGGAGGCAGCAGUAGGGAAUCUUCCGCAAUGGGCGAAAGCCUGACGGAGCAACGCCGCGUGAGUGAUGAAGGUCUUCGGAUCGUAAAACUCUGUUAUUAGGGAAGAACAAAUGUGUAAGUAACUAUGCACGUCUUGACGGUACCUAAUCAGAAAGCCACGGCUAACUACGUG